rnacentral:tRNA from 1 species
UGGGGGGUGUCCACUCAGUGGUAGAGCAACUGUUUAGUGUAUACAGGCCCUGGGUUCAAUCCCCAGCACCACAG